CUGCGCCGUUCUUCAUAUUGCUCCUAAUGUGGCCAAUGAUGCCAAAGGAACUGAGAACUAGUGCGUCAUUAGCUUCAAUUCAUAUUUCAGAGAUUCCAUCUACAAAUCAUCAGAUUGAGAGCUGCAAGUGUUUUCAUGCAUAUCCACUACUUCAGAGGUCUUGUUCGUAGCCAUCAUUAGAUGAAGAGGAGCCACAGGACCAAACCUAAAAAAGGAGUAAACUAUCACAGAAGAUGACCGAGCCUGGUCACAUAGUGUCCUAUGUUGUCUUCCUUCCGAUUACAUGCAUUCCUUCAGAAUAGUAGCCGCACAUGCACCCACCACAUCCCUCCAAACUAUCAACACACCUGAAACCCGUAGAUCAAUGUGAAGUAGCCCAUCCUAGCUAACUCUUCCGGUAAUGCAGCAACCGUCGUACCCUCCUCUGCUUCAGUUCUGAUCUCUGCCGCUGCUGUCUGUAUUAACAUCUGAAGCAACAAAUUGUCCGCCAGAGCAGCCUCAUUAGACCUUUUGUCCUUCCAAAAAGCUCCUGUCUUCAGUCAUGAUCUAUUUCCCAAAAUUGACACAGCCAAGUUAUCCUUACGGAGGAUGUUUGUGAUGAAAUUUGGCUUAUGCGAGAUCCAAUUUUGGUGGAGAGUUCCUUGGCAUGUAAGCUUCGCCACUUCAUACGCUAAUGAGUUUGCUUCUCUGGGCACCCAGGAAAUUUUGUGACAUAAUUAAAGCUGCCCUAACCGCUAAUGCCUCCGCAUCCAAUGGCGAGGCCGCAACAAUAUUGGAGUUAAUUCCUGAGAGAAGAGUUCCAUUAUAGUCUCUGAAUACUAUGGCCAUAGUACCCACAGAUUGUGCUCCCAUGAAAGCUGCAUCAACGUUGCAUUUGAUCCAACUUUGUAAAGGCGGUCUCCAGGGUGAUAAGAAAUGGUGAAGAGGAAGUGAUAUUUGAGUGUAGCUCUCUUGUGAUGUUGCGCACUUUGAUGAGUGAAAGGUAAAGCUCACAGAUAACAGUAAAUGCACUGGAUCGUUCAAAUAAUACCAUGAUAAGUUGAUAUCGUUUCUAUGAGAAUUAAAGGAUUGUGUAUGCAAAUAUCGAGUUAAAUGACCAAUUAGAUCAAUGGAACCUAGAAUGAUUAGGGUUGAAACUUUCUAAAAACAUAAAAGGCUUAAACAUUGGAUUCCUUGAGGGUAGUGAACAUGUAGUUAAUUGAAAGAGAAUAUAUAAUGGAGAAGUCAAAGAUUUUGGAGAUGUUUAAGUCCUUAGAAAAAUCAAAUUUUGUUUCCCUUUUCCAAAGCAAGUAAAGAUCUUUUCACGACGAAUCUUAAUUAACCGAUUUUCAAUGUCUUGGCUCAUUGGUUUCUCUUCAAUUAACCAACCGCCAAUGUUUUGGUCAAUCGAUUAAUCAAAGACGUUAAGUGCAAAAACCGAUUCAGUUCCUCUUAAGAUUCAAAAUUAGUUCUUAGGUCGGAUUAUAUGUAACGUAUCUAAGCUAGUCUAUUCUGAUUAAAUCUUAUGAGAAAAUAGAAUUUUCAAAAGUUGUCCUAAUCUGAAUUAUAUGUCAUAUAUUCAAAAUAGAGUAAUUGAAAAUCAUGUAUCGUAUCGAACACUUUAAAAUCCACUAUGUCUAGUCGAUUCAAAAAGUUAUGUAAAGGAGUUUCCAAACAUAAUUCGGAUAUUAGUUCUGUCGAAGCAAUAAACAAAUUCAAAACGGAAUUAGCAUGCCUGUUGACACUACUAAUCCUUUAAGGAUGAAAAAUGAAACACUCAAUCAUAACAUAGAUCAAUGCAAUACUUCAAAAUAGAAGAAAACUUAGAUUAAUAAUACAUAGAAACAUAAAUAGAGCUCCUAAUCCUUUGGCAGAGAAAUUGAUGAGUCAUGGUGAAUUGAAAAAUAAAGCAAAUGAAAAGAAGAAAAAGAGAGACAUGUGAAGGAUCCGAAGAUCCUCCCCUCGGCUCUCCUCCUAAUGCGUGAGCAUCUUGUACGCUUUUUCCACUUGUUUUCUAGUCAUUUUCAGUUAGUAAUUAUUAAGUUUUAUUAUAUUUUAGUGCAAAAUCCUCUUUGGAUGUUACUUGGAGUUGUUUUAGUAUUUUUAUGAUUUCAGGUGAAAUUCGGAGCAAUUUGGCAGAGUUUGAAGCAAAAAGGAAUGGAGCUAGACUUUCCCCCUUUGGGCGCUAAACGCUAAGCUGGCAUUUAGCACUAGCAAGCCCAACCCGAAUCCACGCUCUUGGAUCAUGUUUAGUGGAUUUUGCUUUUAGUUGUUAUCGUUUAUUUUAUUUUUGUAAUUUUUAUUUAAAAAUAGUAUCUUUAUGUUUUAGAAUUUAAUAUUUUAUUUUAUUUGCACAUCAAAUUAGGUUAAAUAUGAAAGGAAAAAUAUUCUCCCUUUUAGAGGAUUCGAACCCUUUUGGUUUUUGGCAUACUUUUCAAAACCCUAGUUUUUCUCUAUAAGUCAUGAGCCAGUAAACCUCUUUGGUUAAGGUUAGGAGCUCUGUUUAUCUUCUAUGGAUUAAGACUAUUGCUUUUCUAUUUUAGUUAAUGUAUUUAUUCAGU